CUUGCUCUUUCCGGAAUUGAGUGGCAAACGGGUGAGUAACACGUAUCCAACCUGCCGAUGACUCGGGGAUAGCCUUUCGAAAGAAAGAUUAAUACCCGAUGGCAUAGUUCUUCCGCAUGGUGGAACUAUUAAAGAAUUUCGGUCAUCGAUGGGGAUGCGUUCCAUUAGGUUGUUGGCGGGGUAACGGCCCACCAAGCCUUCGAUGGAUAGGGGUUCUGAGAGGAAGGUCCCCCACAUUGGAACUGAGACACGGUCCAAACUCCUACGGGAGGCAGCAUG
rnacentral:rRNA from 1 species